rnacentral:SRP_RNA from 1 species
GCCGGGUGCGGUGGCGCGUGCCUGUAGUCCCAGCUACUCGGGAGGCUAAGGUUGGAGGAUCGCUUGAGCCCAGGAGUUCUGGGCUAUAGUGCACUAUGCAGAUUGGGUGUCCGUGCUAAGUUCAGCAUCAAUAUGGUGACCUCCCGGGAGCAGGGGACCACCAGGUUGCCUAAGGAGGGGUGAACCAGCUCAGGUUGGAAACAGAACAGGUCAAAAUUCCCGUGCUGAUCAGUAAUGGGAUUGCACCUGUGAAUAGCCACUGCACUCCAGCCUGGGCAACAUAGUGAGACCCCAUCUCU